rnacentral:rRNA from 1 species
AUUGAACGCUGGCGGCAGGCCUAACACAUGCAAGUCGAGCGAGCGGCGGACGGGUGAGUAAUGUCUGGGAAACUGCCUCAUGGAGGGGGGUAUCUACACGAAACGGUAGCUAAUACCCCACACCCUCAGAUGUGCCCACAUGGGAGUAGCUAGUAGGUGGGGUAACGGCUCACCCAGGCGACGAUCCCUAGCUGGUCUGAGAGGAUGACCAGCCACACGGGAACUGAGACACGGUCCAGACUCCUACGGGAGGAAGCAGUGGGGAAUAUUGCACAAUGGGCGCAAGCCUGAUGCAGCAAUGCCGCGUGUAUGAAGAAGGCCUUCGGGUUGUAAAGCACUUUCAGCGGGGAGGCGUUACCCGCAGAAGAAGCACCGGCUAACUCCGUGCCAGCAGCCGCGGUAAUAC